AAAAAAAAAAAGUGUGACUAACAACGGUAUCUUAAGGAUAAGUUGUCAAUAAUUUGACCCAGGAGGAACUGACCCAAGCAAGGACACAGAAGUUGGUGAAUUUGUCCAGUUGCAAUGUCACAUUUAUGCUUUUAUUUGGUCGGAGAUAUCUUAAGGCAGACUGUUCACUAGCUAAGUUUGAUCGGGAUCAAGCAAGGAUGAAGAAGUUGGUCGAAUAUUGUCUAGUUGCAACGUCACAUUUAUGCUAAUUAUUUGUUGUGGAUGGCAGGUAGCUCUGAAUUUAAUCCAGACCAACUAAACCCGAGCCGCAUCCCCGUUACACCCGAGCUUUGGGGUCAAUUACGGGGAAGUCGGAAACUAUAUCUUAAGGCAGACUGUUUUACUAGCUAGGUUUGAUACGGACCAUGAGGAAGUUUAAGAAAAGGGAUAAUACAAGAAUAUCCCUGUAAUUUGUCUUGAAGUUCCACCUACAUGACUAAACUUCGCAGGGAACUUAUUAUUCCCAUAUUCUCGUCCAAAGUGUAUCUACUGGCACUCUAGACAGUCUACGACUACUUUCUGGGAAGUGCAUAACAUGUGUCGCUCACAUGUGCUACACAUGUCAUAACAUAUAAAAACACUUGAGAAAGCUAGACUAAUCAUUGCUACAAAGUAUAUCAUUUUUAUUCAUUUGUUCCAUUUAUGGUCUGUCCAUUUAAGACUCGAAAUAUGGAUUUGCACAAUCAACGUAUAAGGUAUGGAGUGAAUUCAUGAUGUAGCAUGCUAAUAACUUUAAUAACAAACUUCAAUCAUCUGCUCCUCCAUUUUCAACAUCUUUGAACAGUCCUUGUAUCAUUAACUACUGAAAAAAUUGAGGUAUAUGAACAAUAUAAAAUUGCAGACUUGUAUCAUCUAGGUCUCUCCACUUUAGACUCAAUAAUGGAUCACAAUCAACGUAUAAGGUAAGGAGCUGAACACAUGAUGUAGCAAGCUACUCACUUGAAUAACAAACUUCUCACUUGCUUCUCCAUUUUCAACGUCUUUGAAAAGAGACUGAAGUAUAUGAACACUAUAAAAUUUACCUGCAGGUGGGGCCUCCUCCCAUUCAAUAUCCUCUCCUUCAUCCUCCUCUUCACGUUUGGAUUUCAUGCCGACUUGGCGCUCAGUAGAGGUGUUAUCCACUCUAUCUGUAGUUGAUAUUUCCUGUAAACUUUUGGCAGCUUCAUCUUGCUCUCUUUGCCGCUUGAAUAGAGCCUCAUAAUAUGCCUUAACAUAUUCACAUCUGUAGUUGAUGUUUCCUGUAAACUUUUGGCAGCUUCUUCUUGCUCUCUCUGUCGCUUGAAUAGAGCCUCAUAAUAUGCCUUAACAUAUUCAUCCUACAAAAAGUAAGACAAAGAAAAGGUGAGGCAUUAAAGCAUCAUUAAAGAGCAUAGAGGAAUUCAAGCAAGAAAGGAAGGGGCAGCAAAGGAGUAAGGGCAGAAAGAGGUUAGGAACCAUACAAAAGGCAAUGAGCUCACCUUUAUAUUUUUCACGU
rnacentral:lncRNA from 1 species